rnacentral:rRNA from 1 species
UACGGGGGGGGCAAGCGUUGUUCGGAAUUACUGGGCGUAAAGCGUGCGCAGGCGGUGAUGUAAGCCAGGUGUGAAAUCCCCGGGCUUAACCUGGGAACUGCAUUUGUGACUGCAUCGCUGGAGUGCGGCAGAGGGGGAUGGAAUUCCGCGUGUAGCAGUGAAAUGCGUAGAUAUGCGGAGGAACACCGAUGGCGAAGGCAAUCCCCUGGGCCUGCACUGACGCUCAUGCACGAAAGCGUGGGGAGCAAACAGG